rnacentral:rRNA from 1 species
GACGUAGGGCGCGAGCGUUGUCCGGAUUUAUUGGGCGUAAAGAGCGUGUAGGCGGCCUGUUAAGUCUGCUCUGAAAGCCCGGGGCUCAACCCCGGGAGGCGGGUGGAUACUGUCAAGCUCGAGUCCGGAAGAGGAGUGUGGAAUUCCAGGUGUAGCGGUGAAAUGCGUAGAUAUCUGGAGGAACACCGGUGGCGAAGGCGGCAUCCUGGACCGAGAUUGACGCUGAGGCGCGAAAGCCAGGGGAGCAAACGGG